rnacentral:lncRNA from 1 species
UUAGGCGUAAUGGACACUAUGCACGGAUGCGAAGCCCAGGAUCUUCUACUUUCUGACUAAUUUGAAGCCUUUGAGGAGGACCGCUGGGGAGUCCCGACGACUGCUGGAUUUCGUUGCAGGCGAGGAGACUCUCUGGAAUGAUGGACACCAAGAAAGCAGGAACCUCCACAGCAAGGAGAACUUCCAUCACUCUGUGUGGUUUGUUUGUUUUUUUAAUCCUUCUUCUGGGAUGCCAGCAAGAGUUCCAUAUACAUUUCAUCCUUGGUCUUCCUUUCCUGCUCUGCAUUCUGCAACUAAUAAUAGUCCUUGGAGACUCUGUGGCAUCAGGUAUAGGAACUGAGAAAAAGAACCAAUAUUUAUUGAAGUAAUUCAAGUCUCUGUG